rnacentral:rRNA from 1 species
AUGUUACCAGAUCGGGACGGAAGCGCGUCAGGUCUUGAUCGCCACCGUGGCGGACGCAGCUCCAUCAGCACAGGUAUGGCAAUAUUCUAUCAAGCGCAAGAUCACCCUGGCAGAAAAUAUAACCCAAUCAAACAAGGAGAAACGAAAAGCUGCAGAAAAAAAAACAAGGAGGAACAAAAAGCUUUGAAAAACAAGGAGAUACGAAAGCAAGAGAAUCAAAUCAAAAUAAAAAUCCAGGUCGAAAACAAGCAAGGGAAGCAGGCAAACGAAAACCAAAGAAAUCAAAUCAAAAAAGAGUUCAAAAAGGAAAAUAUUCAAAUUUUGAGUUCGGGAUCAGAUGGUGAAUCACGGGGAUGCCCCAGUGUCGUAACAGGCUUAUUGGGGCGGGCACCCCUCUCGCAUGAUUAA